GACGAACGCUGGCGGCGUGCUUAACACAUGCAAGUCGAACGGAAAGGCCCUGCUUGCAGGGUACUCGAGUGGCGAACGGGUGAGUAACACGUGGGUGAUCUGCCCUGCACUUCGGGAUAAGCCUGGGAAACUGGGUCUAAUACCGGAUAGGAGCCAUUUUUAGUGUGAUGGUUGGAAAGUUUUUUCGGUGUAGGAUGAGCUCGCGGCCUAUCAGCUUGUUGGUGGGGUAAUGGCCUACCAAGGCGGCGACGGGUAGCCGGCCUGAGAGGGUGGACGGCCACAUUGGGACUGAGAUACGGCCCAGACUCCUACGGGAGGCAGCAGUGGGGAAUAUUGCACAAUGGGCGCAAGCCUGAUGCAGCGACGCCGCGGGGGGGAUGACGGCCUUCGGGUUGUAAACUCCUUUCGCUAGGGACGAAGCUUUUUGUGACGGUACCUAGAGAAGAAGCACCGGCCAACUACGUG
rnacentral:rRNA from 1 species